rnacentral:rRNA from 1 species
AUUGAACGCUGGCGGCAGGCUUAACACAUGCAAGUCGAGCGAGCGGCGGACGGGUGAGUAAUGUAUGGGAAUCUGCCCGAUAGAGGGGGAUAACUACUGGAAACGGUGGCUAAUACCGCAUACUAUAGGAUGAACCCAUAUGGGAUUAGCUAGUUGGUGGGGUAAAGGCUCACCUAGCCGACGAUCUCUAGCUGGUCUGAGAGGAUGAUAAGCCAGAUUGGGACUGAGACACGGCCCAGACUCCUACGGGAGGCAGCAGUGGGGAAUAUUGCACAAUGGGAGCAAGCCUGAUGCAGCCAUGCCGCGUGAAUGAAGAAGGCCUUCGGGUUGUAAAGUUCUUUCAGCGGGGAGGCGUUACCCGCAGAAGAAGCACCGGCUAACUCCGUGCCAGCAGCCGCGGUAAUUC